UAAUGCAACAAUGAAGUUUUAAAAAGCCAAGCAAUUUAUAUAUUUGUGACCAAGAAGGACAUAACCCCAAAUUGCUGUGUGAUGACUUCACCCACACAAACAGAAGUACGAUGGCAGUCUUGAAAAGGGAACUGAAGACCGUGAAUGGGUUAAAGAACUUAAUAUGGGAAAGAGAAAGAGAAAGUCUUGCUUCAAAGGAAGGGCUGGCCUGGCUCUGAGGGGCAGACCGCCAGACACAAUGAGAGAAACAUGAAGAGACAAAUCAACCCCAACAUAUCGUGGCUUUGGUAACGCUAAAAGCACCAAAACCAACGAGAACCGAUUCUUGCCAGCGAAGGGGUCUACAAGCUGAGAGACUGGAUGCUGGGCACCCGAGGAGGACACUUCUGUGAGGAGGCUGUGUGGCUGCCAGGUCCCUGGUUUCAGGGAACUCUUGAAACGAUUUCAUGUGUCUGGAUGUUUGUCUGUGCACCGCAUGUGCUCAGUGCUCCUAGAGAUCAGAAGGCAUCGGAUCCCCUAGAACUAGAGUUACCAAGUGUAAGUUACCCUGUGGGUGCUGGGAGUCGAGCCUGCAGUCCUCUGGAAGAGCAGCAAGUGCUCUUAACCACUGAGCCAUCUCUCCAGCCCCCAGUACGGUUUUGGAACUAUGAACUACUCUAUGACAUGCAAUGCUUUGCUCUGACAUUGGAAGCGUAAGGACAGUAUGCUGUGACACACUCUCAAAGCUUGCUCACCUUUGCUGAGGAAACAAUCUGCUUGGCCUGGCGUCUGGACAGAUGCUCAAUUGUCCUCACUAGCACGUCUGGACUGGCAUUGGCUAAGUGCAUUAUACUCUUGUAACCUGCACUGUAUAACUGUUUUGCUCGACCCUAAAGUAUUAAAGAAAAAAAUUAAUACUAUGAGUAUUUGUGACUAUAAAAAAUACACAUGCAGCAGACAACAGACGCAGAUACUAGUGUACAUAUGAAGAGACGACAUGGCAGAGUACUGCAGAGUUUUAAGGAUGUGUCUGGGAGUCUGAUUUGACUUGGGAAUUUUCCACACCCUGCAAGUCAGCAGGUGUGCUAAAAGUCUCCUCUCUGCGGCUGAGUGCAUCUAAGCUGCCACCACCAUUCCUCACUGAUAAGAAGUCCAGCUUCUUCAACCUUCCCCAUGAAGCCCAGCAGUGCUCCAGGAAUCCCCAGGCUUCCAUACCAGACUGGGACCGCUGCACAUUCAGUCUCAGGGACCGAGCGGCCUCUCCACUGUGGAGACCCCUGCUGCAGGACUACCCAGCGACGUCAGCCGAUGUAACAAGUCCCCUUUGUUGAUAUAUAUUGAGUCUUUCAGUUCUGUUUCUCUAUAGACCCCAGAGCGACAAGGCUCUUUCUAUUCCCCAUUCUGCAGCAGCACUUAAUAAAAUGGUAAGACCUAAUCUUCCCGUCAGUAAAAACAACCUGAGCUGGGGAACCAGAGUAAGGCUGACCUCUAAGACCCCGGUCACUUCCAUGAGCGGGAUUAACUCCGCCUUCACGCAGUACGUCAGUUUCUUGGUAAGUUCUACCAACAGGGCUCUGUAAACCCAAAACUCCUCCAGCUCCUAAGAAAAGAAAGAUACAUCCAAUGUUAAGCUAAGCAAGUUACCUCUAAGUUUUUUCUGAAGUUUGGGUGUAGCAAGGGGGAGGCCGAUCCCAAUCACAAUGACAAGGAGGCAUGGUGGGCACCCUGGCAGCUUGAUGAACUAGCUU